rnacentral:miRNA from 1 species
CCCUUCCUUCACUGCAGGUGA